CGGUGAGAUGUCAGGUGGGGUUGUAGGUGGGGGCKCUUGCGUCCCUACCAGCCCUGCUUGUCGAGCCGCCUCCGGACCGAGGAACUGCUCACGCGCUUCGAGGCCACCCUCCUCUCGGGGUGAGUUCGACUGGGAGAGACUGGGCAACCGUGUCUCUCUGAACGCUUACUUUCGAUCAGCGCGGGGCUGGCCGGGCGCAUUCAGUGUGGGUUUGUGGCGAGUCUGUCGGCACUCCACCCGACCCGUCUUCGAAACACGGACUCAAGGUAGUCUAACAUGCGCGCGAGUCAUUGGGUGGUACGAAACCCAAAGGCGCAGUGAAAGCGAGGUCGGUCAAACGCCUAGGUGGGAUCUCGUCCCCUGAAGCUCUCUCCGAGGGUCAUUGGGGGGCGGCGCACCACCGGCCCGUCCCGUCUGCGUCGGCAGUGGGGCGGAGCAAGAGCGCGCACGCUGG
rnacentral:rRNA from 1 species